GGUUGGGCGAUCGGGCUGUGACAUCUGUCACCCCAUUGAUCGCCAGGGCUGAUUCAGCUGAUCUGGCUGGCUAGUAGUCCCCUUCCUCCCUCACCCCUCCAUAUGCAUCCCUCCCAGUUAAAGAGGAGACCUAGUGGAGGACCAGCCUUAGGUCAAGGGUAUAUGGAUAGCUGCGCUUCCCUGCUAGAACCUCCAAACAAUCUCUCAAAGUCCAUAAUACAGUUUUUAAUUUAUUAAAAAUUAUUAAGGGAAAAAGGAGGUAUUAUGAAAUUUAUGAAAGGGAAAAGAUAACAGGCAAAUCUAAGGAGUUACAGAUGAUUACAAGUACUGUGAAGGCUUCCUU
rnacentral:snRNA from 1 species